rnacentral:lncRNA from 1 species
AGAAAACCAGACCCUACUAGAUCUGACCGACAGGAAUGUGAAGGCUGGACGGGACAUCAGAAAUGAUUUGACCCAAGCCCUCGAUUUGGCUGAUGGGAAAGCUGAGGCCCGUAUGGGGUAGGUGGCUGGUGCAGGGCCAUGCAGCUGUUAACAGGGUCAGGGCCGCUCACAUCCCGCUCACUGGCCCACCGCAUGGCGUGUUCAGAUGCAAACCCAGGAAGGCCAUUCACGACGUUGUGACAGAAGAAGUGGAGGUCAGUACCACUGCCAUCAUGGCUGCAAGCACAGCACAUGGACAGAGCUCGCAGAGUGGAUCCAGAGCCUGCCUGGGCCCCGUUCUCACUGCCCCUCCACUCCCUGGUCUGCCGAGAGCUGGCCAAUCCUGAGCGCGGCAGGGAGGGGACUUCUCAUCUUCCUGCAGAAAGGGCCUGCAAAUCACACAGCCAAGACUCCUGUCAAAGAAGAGUCCUGUCUUGGAGGAUGCAUGAGUUUCUUGUGGCUGUUGUAACACAUGACCAUGCACUAGGUGAUUUACGACAACAGAACUUUGUUCUCUCCCAGUUCUGGAGCCCAGAAAUCUGCAAUGAAGGUAUUGACAAGCAUGUGAGAUCCUCCAUCAGGGAGGGCAGGGAAUAGCCCACCAGAAAACUGACAUUAAUAA